AGAUGGAGAAGCAUAUGAGAAGUGCACUGGUAUUUGAAGUGACUUUGAAGAAAAGGUAAAGAGCAUGUGAUUAAUGAAGUGUCUAGUAUUUCAUUCAGGAAAGGACUGGAAACAGAAACAGGUCCUGCUCAGGAAUGUGGCCUUUGGUGCUUCACUUUUAUGACGUGACAUCAGAUAAGCUAUCUGAAGGUGGAGAGCAUCUUGUGAUACACCUAUGUAUGGCAGAGGAGAUAGAAGGAGCUAUCAAGCCCACACUGAAGUUCCUACUUCCAGAUUGCUUUUUAAGUAAGGAAACUAAGACUGUUGUUUGUUUAAGACCUCAUCAGGUUUCUGUUACAUGCACCUAAAUACAUUCCUGAGUAGUACAUCAACAAAAUAUUUUUGUUCUUUAAAGGAUCACACCACAAUUCUGCUUCAUAUCAAAAUAUGGGGAAAAAAUCUGUUCCUCCUAUAUCCCCCUACUUGUCCUAUUUUUAAUAUCCAUUCCUCAAACCAGCUACAUUUAUCUUAUUUUAUUUCACUUAAGUCCUCCUUUGAUAUUUUCUACAAUAUUUGUACAAUAUUUUUAGGGGGCCAACUAAAGUGCACAGUGGUAUUUAAGUCCUGUCUACACCUAAAAUUAAUAUGAAAGAGUCAAGUUAGCCUGGGAAACUCCAGAUUUCUGAAAAUCUUUCUUUCUUUGAAGCAGAA